rnacentral:rRNA from 1 species
ANAGUUUGAUGCUGGCUCAGAACGAACGCUGGCGGCGUGCCUAACACAUGCAAGUCGAGCGAGAACGCCUCCUUCGGGAGGUUAGUAAAGCGGCGAACGGGUGAGUAACACGUGAGCGAUCCACCCGACGGCGGGGGAUAACCCAGGGAAACCUGGGCUAAUACCGCAUACAGCACCGGCUUGGAAGCCGGAUGUGAAAGCUGGCCUCUCGAAGAAGCUGGCACCAUCGGAUGAGCUCGCGGCCUAUCAGCUUGUUGGUGGGGUAACGGCCUACCAAGGCGAUGACGGGUAGCUGGCGUGAGAGCGUGGCCAGCCACACUGGGACUGAGACACGGCCCAGACUCCUACGGGAGGCAGCAGUGGGGAAUAUUGCGCAAUGGGCGAAAGCCUGACGCAGCGACGCCGCGUGGGGGAGGAAGGCCUCAGGGUCGUAAACCCCUGUCAGGUGGGACGAACCACGGAUCGGUCGAUACCCGGUCCGUCUGACGGUACCACCAGAGGAAGCUCCGGCUAACUCCGUGCCAGCAGCCGCGGUAAUACGGAGGGAGCUAGCGUUGUUCGGAAUCACUGGGCGUAAAGGGCGCGUAGGCGGUCGGGUAAGUCGAGUGUGAAAUUCCGGGGCUCAACCCCGCGAACUGCAUUCGAUACUGCUCGACUAGAGAGAGGUAGGGGCGAGUGGAAUUCCCGGUGUAGCGGUGGAAUGCGUANAUAUCGGGAAGAACACCGGUGGCGAAGGCGGCUCGCUGGGCCUUUUCUGACG